rnacentral:rRNA from 1 species
UAUCUCUGUAGAGUCUGCAUAUCAAUAAGCGGAGGAAAAGAAACUAACUAGGAUUCCCUUAGUAACGGCGAGUGAAGCGGGAAGAGCUCAAAUUUGAAAUCUUCAAGGUUCUACCUUGACGAAUUGUAGUUUAAAGAAGUGUUUUCUGUUAGAUGAGUAGCAAAAGUUCCUUGGAAUAGGGACAUCAUAGAGGGUGAGAAUCCCGUAUUUGACUUAUUCAUUCUAGCUUUGUGAUACACUUUCAAAGAGUCGGAUUGUUUGGGAAUGCAGUCCAAAAUGGGUGGUAAAUUUCAUCUAAAGCUAAAUAUUGGCGAGAGACCGAUAGCGAACAAGUACCGUGAGGGAAAGAUGAAAAGAACUUUGAAAAGAGAGUUAAACAGUACGUGAAAUUGUCAAAAGGGAAGCGUUUGACACCAGUGUUGUUUUUCCGAAAAUCAAUUACGAAUGGCUUGAUUCUGUGUUGUAUUGACCUUAUCAGCUUUCUGCACUUUUUUCGAGUCUUUCUUAAUGCACUUUUCGGUUAACAAGUCAACAUCAAUUUCUUUUGUUGUAAAAGAGGUCAUUCGGAAGGUGGCUUUCUUUUCGGAGAAAGUGUUUAUAGCCUUAUGCCUCUACAAUCGGAGAGAUUGAGGUCUGCAGCGUAGAUCCUUCGGGGUUAGAUACAUUUGUGCUAAGUUAGUAGCCUUUCAUAGACAACUUGUUGACUAUGAUCAGUCAUGUAGGCUUACUCGCUUAUGCUAUUUUACCUACGCUUAGGAUGUUGA